AAACAUGUAAAGCCCGAAACCAAUCUCAACCAACAUGCAAAUUUAUAUCCAAAACCAAUAAAAAUCCAUAUGAAUAAAUUUCUCAACCCAAAAAUCCAAAGCCCACAAACAAAAUCCCAAAAUCCAAAAUUCACAAACAAAGAUCCAAAAUCCCAAAAAUCCAAAGUCCACAAAUAAAGAUCCAAAACCCAAAGUUCACAAAUAAAGAUCCAAAAAACCCAAAGUCCACAAAUAAGAUCCAAAACCCAAAACUUAAAGAUCUAAGAAUCAAAGUCCAUAAAUAAAACCCAAUCAAAUCUACCAAACCUAUGUCAUCCAAAUACCUCCAACCCAAACCGAAUUAAUGGGCUUUCCAAAUGGGCCCUUUAUUAUGAAUUAAUUCUAUAAAUUAAUUUCCUGGGCUUUCCAAAGGCCCUCUAUCAUGAAUUAAUUCGACAAAUUAAUUUCAUGGGUUUGCCAAAUAGGCCCUUUAUCACGAAUUAAUUCUAUGAAUUAAUUUCAUGGGCCCCCCUUGUCAUACAUUAAUUUCAUGAAUUAAUGGGCCCUCCAAAUGGCUCCUUAUCAUAAAUUAAUUCAAUAGGCUCUCCAAAUGACCCCUAUCAUGAAUUAAUUUUAUCAAUUAAUUCAAUGGACUUUACAGACGGGCACCUAGCAUGAAUUAAUUUCAUGAAUCAGUUUCAUGAACAUCUCGAUUUCAAAUGACCGAAAAGUCACUAAACUAAACUCAAAUUCAAAUGACCGAAUCGUUAAACUAAAUCCAAAUUCAAACGACCGAAACGUCGUUAAACUAAACCCAAAUUCAAAUGACUGAAACGUCGUUAAACUAAACCCAACAACCGAAACGUCGUUAAACUAAACCCAAAUCCAAGCGACCGAAAAGUCGCUAAACUAAACCCAAAUUCAAACGACCGAAACGUCGUUAAACUAAAUCCAAAUUCUAACGACCGAAACGUCGUUAAACUAAACCCAAAUUCAAACGACCGAAACGUCGUUAAACUAAACCCAACGACCGAAACGUCGUUAAACUAAACCCAAAUCCAAACGGUUGAAACGUCGCUAAACUAAACCCAAAUUCAAACGACCGAAACGUCGUUAAACUAAACCCAAAUUCAAACGACCGAAACGUCGCUAAACUAAACCCAAAUNCCAAAUUCAAACGACCGAAACGUCGUUAAACUAAACCCAAAUUCAAACGACCGAAACGUCGCUAAACUAAACCCAAAUUCAAACGACCGAAACUUCGCUAAACUAAACCUGAAUUCAAACGACUGAAACAUCGUUAAACUAAACCCAAAUUCAAAUGACUGAAACGCCAUUAAACUUUCCUUGAUCAUGUAAUUUCGGGCGAUGGUAUCUCGGUGAACCUGAAGAAAGUUGAGGCAAUUAGAGAUUGGCCUCGCCCGACGAGCGUAUCGGAGGUUUGUAGUUUCCUUGGGCUAGCGGGUUAUUAUCGGCGGUUCGUGGAGGGGUUUGCUAAAAUAACUACUCCACUAACGUGCCUCGCACACAAAGGGGUGAAAUAUGUUUGAAGCCCUGAAUGCGAGCGGAGCUUCAAGGAGUUAAAAGAAAGAUUGACCACGACCCCGGUGCUUGCUCUACCGACGCCGGGGGAGACAUUUGUGGUAUAUAGUGAUGCUUCCUACGUUGGACUCGGGUGUGUCUUGAUGCAAAACGGGCGGGUUAUAGCUUAUGCUUCACGCCAAUUGAAGACUUACGAGAAGAACUACCCGAUUCACAAUCUUGAGCUAGCGGCGGUUAUUUUCACGCUAAAAUUAUGGAGGCAUUACUUAUACGGGAAACAUUGUGAGAUUUAUACGGAUCACAAAAGUCUUAAGUACUUAUUCAUCCAAAGGGAGCUAAAUAUGCGACAACGGCGGUGGUUAGAGUUGUUGAAAGAUUAUGACGUCACUAUACUUUACUACCCGGGAAAAGCCAAUGUCGUGGCCGAUGCACUUAGUAGAAAAUCGGGAGAAAAUUUGGCUUCAGCAAUCACACCCCAACUAUUAUUAUAAAAGGAGAUGCAACGGCUUGGUUUGGAAGUAGUAGCGCCGGGAGUGCCGGCUACACUUGCUACCUUAGUGGUGCAACCGACCUUGUUGGAGAGGAUAAAAGAAUUGCAAGCUUCCGAUGAGUAGCUCCAAAUAGUGCACGGUGAAGUUGAGAGGGGUAGUGCCAAUGAUUUUGGCAUUGGGACUGACGGCACACUUCGAUUUCGAAAUAGUUGGUGUGUACCUAAGAACAAGGAUCUCCGCAGGGCGAUUAUGCAAGAGGCGCAUCAAUUUUCUUAUAGCAUUCACCCCGGCGGCACCAAAAUGUACCAAGAUUUGAAGAUGCACUAUUGGUGGCCGAGCAUGAAGAAAGACAUUGGGGAAUUUGUUGCGCAAUGCCUUACUUGCCAACAAGUAAAAGCGGAGCGACGAUUUCCGGCGGGGAAAUCGCAAAGCCUACCUAUACUCGUUUGGAAAUGGAAAAAUAUCGCGAUGGACUUCGUGACCGGAUUGCCCCGAUCUCGAGGUGGACAUGAUGCAAUUUGGGUGAUAGUAGACCGGUUGACGAAGUCGGCGUAUUUCCUACCGAUUCAUAUUACUUGGUCGGGGGACAAGUUGGCCCAAGUAUAUAUCGAUGAAGUUGUGAGACUUCAUGGGAUACCGGCGUCAAUUGUAUCGGAUCGGGACCUGAGGUUCACAUCUCACUUUUGGAGGAGCCUACAGGAGGCCUUAGGCACACUGCUCGACUUUAGCACGGCGUUUCAUCCUCAAAAUGAUGGUCAAUCGGAGAGGACUAUACAAAUACUUGAGGAUAUGCUUCGAGCGUGUGUACUAGACUACAAGGGCGGUUGGCAUGAUCACUUACUGAUGGCGGAGUUCGCGUACAAUAAUAGUUAUCAAGAGAGUAUCGCGAUGGCGCUAUUCGAGGCCCUUUAUGGAAAGAAAUGUCGCUCUCCAAUUCAUUGGAGCGAUGUGGGCGAGAGAGCUACUCUUGGCCCAGAUGUGGUACGGGAAGCGGAGGAGAAGGUUCGCCUUGCCCGCCAAAGACUCACUACGGCGCAAUCUCGGCAAAAGAGCUACGCCGACAAACGGAGGAAGGAUAUAGAAUUUGCCGUUGGAGACCACGUGUUCCUUAAGGUGUUGCCGAUGCGAGGAAUUAGACGGUUUGGACUUCGGGGGAAGCUAAGUCCCCGCUACCUCGGACCGUUUGAGGUAUUAGAGCGGGUCGGCGCGGUAGCGUACAAAAUAGCAUUACCACCGAGGCUUGCGGGAGUACACGACGUGUUCCAUGUAUCGAAUCUCCACAAGUACAUCCAUGACCCUGAGCAUAUCCUCUCGUUUGAGCCGUCGGAGAUUCCAGAGGAUAUGACUUAUGAGGAGUUCCCGGCGUAUAUCAUCGAUCGAGAGGUGAGAAAACUACGGAAUCGCAAGAUUCCGUAUGUCAAGGUUCGUUGGAGCAACCACAAUGACCGAGAGGCUACGAGGGAGCUCGAAAGUGCAAUGCGGGAACAUUAUCCCCACCUCUUCGAGAAUCUGGAUUAAGGUAUGGAAUCUAGAUUUCAAUUAAGUAGUUUCGCGGACGAAACUAAUUUUAAGGGGUGGAGAAUGUAACGUAUCGAAACCUAGAUAGAAAAUGGCGAACUUUAGGCAAAUUGACUAAAGUGUGCGAAUGGAUUAAUUGGGCGAGUUCCAAUUAACCUACCAACAGUAUUGGAAGGGUUAAAAAUGAGUUCUAGAAAUGUUAGAAGGGUUUUGGCAUCGAUCGGUACAAAAUAAAAUCGAGACGGAGCCAAAAACCAGGUCUGGAGCAAAGUGUACCGGUACAGCAAGCGACCUGUCACCGGUUACACAUGCUGAAACCGGUGACACUUCAAAGUGUACUGGUACAUUUUGGGCGAAACUGAGAGAUCUGUUCUCGGGUUUGCCUCUGCGUAGUCGUGAAACCGGUGACACGUCAAAGUGUACCGGUACACUUUGGGCCUGAUAGCAAAAUAAGGUCUGCUGCAAAAUAUAAAGAUUUGGAGGGCUUUUUGGCAAAUGUUACAACAUGUUAAUAGCCCAAUACCCCUUCCCCUCACAGCCAACACCCAUUUCACUCUCUCCCUUAUUUUCCUCUCUUUCUCUCUCUAGAAAGCAAGCCCUAGAGCUUGGAGAAGGUGGAGGAGCUUGGAAAAGUGGAUUUUGGUAGCUUUGGUGGUCCUAGAAGCUCUCCAACAAGAAGGCUUUGGUGGAGCUUGGGCAAAGGUGAGUCCUUAUGCAAAAAUAAGUCUAGGGUUUGGGUUUAGACCUUAGAUUUUUGGGUUUUGAUCUCUCUACAAGUGAGGAAACUCUCUAGAGACCUUGAAACCAUGAAAUCCAUGGUUGUCUUGGACCCCUCUCAUGGUGGAGUGUUAGAAUCCAAGUUGGAUGCCCUAGGAAUGGUUCAAAUAGCUUAGUAACGAUAUUAGAGAGCUUCCUAGGUGAAUCUAAGCUAUCCUUUGCUUAGGUAUGAGAUCAAUCUAGGAGUUAUCACAUUAGGGCAUCGUUAGGGCACCAAAUUUGGGGCUUUUGCCUCUGAGUGUUUCUAAGACAAAUUGACCUUGUAGAAACCUAAUUGAGGGUAUUUUAAACGCGUUGGAACACUCGGUUUGACAAUCCGACGAGUGUACGAAAAGUUAUUGAUAGAAACGUCAAUUUUUGUACAGAUAGCCGCAGCACGCGGACUAGGGCUUCAAAAAUUCCAAAAAAUUCACCGUAGCAUCCCUACAACCGUCUAAGGUGGGUGGUGCAUUCCAAGGACCUCGAAAUUUCUUUUAUGUCUAAAGUGUCACAUUUGAGCAUAUGUAUGUAUAUUGUGCAUAUUGCAUAGUAGGGUAAUUGUAAGCUUCUAUUUGUAUGUUGUGAGUUUAAAUGCAUGUGAAAUAUUUGUAAGAAUGUGAAAAAUUUAUUUACCCUAUAUAUGCAUGAGAAAUGACAAGAACUUAGUAGCUUUAGAGAACAAAAGUGACAUGUCGACAUAAUUGUAGAAGAUGGCAUCUAUGAGUCGAAAUAUGUUAGAGUGGACACUUAGAAAACAAGUGUGGAAUCAAUGAUUGAGUAUAAGAACAAAGUAGUGUAUAUGACACUAGAAAAAGGUUAAAGAAUGCAAGUAAAUAGAGGUAGCAACAUUAUGACAUCUUUAGAGUUAAGGGUCAUAUGUGCACCGUUUCCUUCUAGUCAAGAAAUGGAUUGGACUUGACAUCCUUAUAGUUAAGGAUGGGAUCAUACUCACCUGUAAGUCCUUGCUCGAGGGUGGUAGCUCCCCCUCGGGCGAUGUGCUACGGAGUUGUCAUCACUGGGUCGUAGCGAGUAUCUCCCUAGAGGACGGUCCCGUCGGGUUGUAGCGGGUAUCUCCCCGAUAUUAGGGAUUUGGUUGGUGAGUCGUUGAGGGCGAAACCUACGGGUUAUCCAAGAGAUUGGAUAAUGAGAUUGUGACCUUGCAUUCAGCAUGAGCAUACUAUUGAACAUUACAUUUAUUGUUGUUCAGGCAUAUUAGCUGCAUUUGUAUAGUUUGGUUACUAUCUAUAUCUCUUUUCUUCUAUUAUGCCUGAUUUAGACCUAGUGGGAAAGUCGGCGUGGUUGGUUGCCGAACCCAGUGGGAACUUUAUUGUAGUUCUCACAACCCAUUUUCCAAAGAGCCCGGACCGAGCGAGCCGGCGGAUGAUCGCGGUAAGGGCAUCGCGCCCUAGUUAGAGACCGCCUGAUAUGGUUAUCAUUUUGUAGUCGCAUACCCCUUUACUAUCACCUUUUGUAUUUGAUGAUUUUAGUAUCAUGAACAUGUUUUAAUGAAUGAUGUAAAGAUAUUUAUUUUAAAUAUCAAAAGUUAUAUUUUGGGAGAAAUGAGAUGUAAAAAGAAAUGAUGCAAGAAUGUAAAAGAACUUGAUUAUAGUUGGAUGCAAGUAUGUGCUUGAAAUUUAGUCAUAUUACUUGUAUGUUGAAUUAUUAAUUCUUUCUCUUUGGCUAUUGCUUGCCCUCGUGCAAGCCAUUGUGUAUGCUUCCACUUAUGCAAAUUUUUACUCUAUUGAUACUUGUUGUUGAGCCUUGGGCGGACAGGGGAAGCUCUGUCGUUCGGCGUCUGUUUGACGCUCUCGAACCGGCCAAAAGGAUCGGGCUUGGGGCGUGACAAUAAAUGCUGAUAAAAGACCAAAAUAUAGUUAUGUUUAUGCGUGACUAAUGUUUGCUGUCUUAUAUAUGCAGAGCAAUGGCGUCGAACAACACCACGGUCAAUGCGACUCAAAUCCGCUUCCCGCUUCUAUGAUGAAAAUACAAACUGCCGGUGUCACUAUCCAGUUCGGCACCAUCACUGAGGACAUUCUGGCUACUGUCAUGCCCUAGCCAGCCACUCAAAUUGGUGAGGGCAGGACUUUGACGGAAUCCAAGGAUAAAGCUACUCUAGUUCCCAACAGCCGUGUGAUUUCUCGCCUUCCAUCACGUGGGAGGCGCCCAAAUAUCAUCAUCCCAAAUCCUCCGCGCAGGCCUGCCAAGGAGCGUUCCCUCUGCCGCAACAAGAAUAGUGAUGGAGGGUCGACUCAAAUUUUAUGAUGGCCACCUUGCAAGGACAUCUGUCUUUAAAAGAUUGGCCCCUGUCAAUUUUGAAACCAUUGAUCCGGAGGCAUCAAGAAAAUCAGUUUUUGAUAGACUGACGACCUCUACAAGCGAAGUUACCGAGAUGGCACUUCAUCCAAGAUCCAAAUCUUUUAAGAGAAAUACUCGACGUUCCUUAAAGAGAAGGCAAGAGAGAGAAGACAAGGGGAUAGAGGCAUUACCGUCGACUAAGGUUGUAGUCAAACCGGCAGCUCUUAUGCAUAACAAGUUCGGCCCACUAAGUUUGUCAAAAAGAAUUCACCCACUGCUGUCCUCCGUCCUGAAAAGGAAAUGGGUCACCUACGACCUAUCAAUGAGACAAGCUACCCACGGCUUGUCAACAAGGUCUCGCCAAAACACAAAGAGACAACUAUAUCUCAACGCAUCUAUGAAGACUUGAAAGAGGUUAAAAGGCGUCGCCGGUUGGACUAUAGGAAUUAGGCUCGUGAGAGAUGAGGUCUAAUUGACUUGUGAGCGAAAGUAUUUCGAUUGGGUUUGAUGACAACUCUAAAAAGUUAGAGUUUGAUCGAAGUGUAUGGCUUCUAACUUCUCGGAGGGUUACGUUGGCGGCCGACAACGUAACAUCGGGAGUUAGUAGUGGAGGACACAUCUUUACUUUCGCAUGAUUUGGGUUUUAUUUAUUUGAGUGGGGAUGUGGUAGCGUGGGUUACUAACUUGCGUUUUUAUGUUUUGUAGUGACGAUGCCGAUUACAUGCUCCCAGUCUGCCGGGGCGGAUGAUGCGGCACACCCCGAGGAGGCCGAGACCUCCGCUACUUCCGGAUCUAGUGAGGUCCGUGACUUGAGGGCCCAGCUUGCGGUUCUCACUGAUCUGUUGGCGCAGCAGACGGCAGCGGCGCAGCGACAGGCUGAGGUGGCUCAGCGGCAGGAGGCGCGGAUGAAGCAUCUUGAGGACCUCCUACUUCAGCAGGCGGCAGCUUCGAGGGAGACCCAGGUUCCCACACCGCCAGCACCCGUGGUGGACGUCGCAUCGAGGGCGCAGUCCCCCGCGCCCAGUUCUUCCCGUGCGGCACCGGCGACCACACCUCGGGAGGAGGUGGCUGCGGCACCCCCAGUUCAGAGACCGGCACGGGGGCAGCUUUCCCCGUGAGGGUCGAGGGAGCCGAGCGGGAUCGGCUCAUGGAUCGCCUCAGUGAGUUUAGGAGGUGCAGCCCGAGGACGUUUGAUGGCGAGAACGUCGACCACUGGAUUGUUGAGAAGUGGUUGAUGCACAUGGAGAAGCUAUUUCGAGACACCUUUGUGGAGGAGCGGGAUAGAGUUUGGCUCGCCACUUACUUUCUGGACGGCGAGGCCUAUCAUUUGUGGUUGGAUAUCCAGGACAACCCCAGCACCGACUUGACAGCGAUCACUUAGACGCGAUUCAAGGAGCUUCUUCUGGCGCACUACAUCUCGACCAGCGUCAAGAGGAAGAUGGAGCAAGAUUUGCGCAGCUUGCGCCAGGACGAGCGGACAGUGGCCGAGUACGAGAGGGAGUUCUCCCGGCUACUUCACUGUGUAUCGUUUGUUGUGAGGGAUGAUGAGGACAAGGCCCGCAUUUUUUAGCGCGGAAUACGACCUUCUAUCUUCCGGUUGGUGCAGUCUUCCAACCUCCAGACCUAUCGGGAGGUUGUGGAUCGAGCGUUGAUUGUAGAGGCUGGAGCGGCAGAUCUUCAGGAGCGUCGCGAGAGCUCGGAGAAAGGGAAGGGAAACAGACCCGCGGCCGAGGGUGCGAGUCAGACGCACUCACGGAGGCCGCCGAGGCACCCCAGGAGCCGGAGCCAGUCGCGAGGACGUGGCUCGUCUACUCAGCAAGGAGGACCCGGUGAGUGAUCUGUGGUGGUCCCCACUACUCGCGACAGUGUUCACGCAGCAGGGGCAGGUGUUUCUUGUGUGGCCAGGAGGGCCACUUCCAGUCGGACUGCCCGAGAGGUUCAGCGCCAGCGCCAUCUUCGGCAUCUGCACCAGCAUCACCAGAUCCCAGUCAGGGGACAUCUUCUGCGCAUCACCAGGCAGGACGGCCGCCAGUUCAGCGGCAGGCAGAGAGGUCACGACAGGCCCAGAGUGGGCGCAUGUAUGCGGCCCAGACUCAGGAGGCGGCGGCAGCUGAGAAUGUGGUCGCAGGUAUCAUUUUACUUUAUGGUAUUCGAGUUAGAGCUUUAUUUGAUACCAGUGCAUCGCAUUCAUUCAUAGACCGGCUGUUUGCCGAGUUGCAUGGCAUCUUUUUGACAUCUUUAUUGCAUCCGGGACUAGUUGUUGUACUCGACCAUUCUUUGGACAUUCGGGAGUUUUGCCCCAGUUGCCCUGUUCGGGUUGGAGAUUGGAUCAUGCCCGUGGACUUGCUAGCUUUGCAUAAACUCGGGGAGUUUGAUGUUGUGUUGGGCAUGGAUUGGUUGACCAAAUACUUUGCCACCAUUGAUUGCAAGAAUCGAACAGUGACGUUUAGAGAGCCGGGGCAGGCGGAGGUUGUGUACCGAGGAUACCAGAGUUCGCUGUUUGCGAUGACGAUUAGCUCUUCUCGAGCUCAGCAGUUGAUUAGUAGGGGCUGUGUGGCCUACUUGGCUACUGUUGUGUUGAGGGGUGAGGAUGACGCCCCUAGGAUUGAGGAUAUUCCCGUGGUGCGGCAAUUUGGAGAUGUGUUCCCAGCGGAGCUUCCAGGCAUGCCACCGGAUAGGGAGAUUGAGUUUGUUGUGGAUCUUGUUCCCGGGACCACUCCAAUCUCAAAGGCGCCCUAUAGGAUGGCACCAGCAGAAUUGAGAGAGCUGAAGGCACGGUUACAGGAACUUCUGGACAAGGGUUUUGUGCGACCGAGUGUGUCACCUUGGGGAGCUCCGGUCCUAUUUGUGAAGAAGAAAAAUGGAUCACUUCGCUUGUGCGUGGACUAUCGUGAACUUAAUAAAGUCACAAUCAAGAACAAGUAUCCAUUACCAAGGAUUGAUGAUCUAUUUGAUCAGCUUCAGGGAUCUUGUGUGUAUUCCAAGAUCGACUUGCAGUCGGGAUAUCACCAGUUGAGGAUUAGACCUGAGGAUGUAUCAUAGACGGCUUUUAGAACACGGUAUGGACAUUAUGAGUUUACCGUUAUGCCGUUUGGGCUUACUAAUGCCCCGGCAGCUUUUAUGGAUCUAAUGAACCGUGUUUUCAAGCCUUAUUUAGACAGGUUUGUCGUGGUGUUCAUCGACGACAUUUUGGUCUACUCCCGAAGUGAUGCGGAUCACAAGGAACACUUGAGACUUGUACUUCAAGUGCUUCGAAAAAAGGAGCUCUAUGCCAAGUUGAAAAAGUGUGAGUUUUGGCUUAGAGAGGUGGCGUUUUUAGGCCAUUUGAUUUCUGGAUCAGGGAUAGCUGUGGAUCCAAGGAAAAUUGAAGCUAUCAAGGAUUGGCCGAGGCCGACGAGCGUGACCGAGAUACGGAGCUUCAUUGGUUUGGCCGGCUACUACCGACGGUUUGUCGAGGGAUUUGCGAAGUUAUCUACUCCCCUCACGAGGCUCACGCAUAAAGGAACUAAGUUCAUUUGGAAUGACGCAUAUGAAAGGAGCUUCCAAGAGUUGAAGCAGAGAUUGACGACCGCCCCGAUCCUAACCUUGCCGACUGUUGGAGCAGGGUAUGUGAUUUAUAGUGAUGCUUCUUUUAACGGAUUGGGCUGUAUUUUGAUGCAGGACGGAAAAGUGAUCGCGUAUGCAUCUCGCCAAUUAAAGGAUUAUGAAAGGAAUUACCCCACUCACGACUUGGAGUUGGCGGCCGUGGUUUUUGCUUUAAAGCUAUGGCGCCAUUAUUUAUACGGCGAGCGGUGCGAAGUAUAUAAGAUCACAAGAGCAUAAAGUAUCUAUUCACUCAGAAGGAGUUGAACUUGAGGCAGCGCAGAUGGUUGGAGCUGCUCAAGAAUUAUGACUUGACUAUUCUUUACCACCCAGGCAAGGCUAACGUGGUGGCGGAUGCGCUAAGUCGAAAAUCGACGGAAAACUUAGCGAUACUUGUGGUUACUCAACCGCCGUUGAUCGAGCAGAUGAAGCGGUUGAAGUUGGAGAUGGUGGUUCUUGAUACACCUUUGAGGUUGAUGACUUUGGUGGUGCAACCUACACUUAUGGAAAGGCUUAAAGAAAAGCUAGCUUCCGAUGUGGAGUUGCAAAAGAUUCGAGCUAAGAUGAUUGAUUGUUGCACCGGUGAUUUCACUUUGGACGGUGAUGGAUUGAUGCGAUUCCGCGGACGGUUGUGUGUACCGGCGGACUUGGGCGUUAAAGAGGAUAUUCUUCAAGAAGCACACCGAGCGCCGUAUGCUAUACAUCCGGGAGGCACCAAGAUGUACAAGGACUUGAAGUUGCUUUAUUGGUGGCCCGGGAUGAAGAAGGAUGUUGGUGAGUUUGUUGCUAGAUGUUUAACUUGCCAACAGGUGAAAGCUGAGCACCGAGUUCCUGCGGGAAAGUUGCAGAGCCUACCGAUUCCAGUGUGGAAGUGGAAAAAGAUCACCAUUGAUUUCGUGAUGGGAUUGUCUCGCUCACAGGCAGGGCAUGAUGCUAUUUGGGUGAUCGUGGAUAGAUUGACGAAAUCAGCACAUUUCAUACCUAUCCACACUACUUGGACUGGUGAGAGACUCGCACAGGUUUAUUUGGAUGAGAUUGUGCGAUUGCACGGGGUACCUACUUCUAUAGUAUCAGAUCGAGACCCCCGAUUUGUUUCUUAUUUUUGGAGGAGUCUACAGGACGCUUUGGGUACGCGCUUGGAUUUCAGCACUGCUUUUCACCCCCAGAGUGAUGGGCAGUCGGAGCGUACUAUACAGACUCUCGAGGACAUGCUUCGAGCCUGCGUGAUUGACUUCUAGGGAGGAUGGUCGCAGCAUCUACUGAUGACAGAGUUUGCUUAUAAUAACAGUUAUCAAGCAAGCAUUAAAAUGGCACUGUUCGAGGCACUCUAUGGACGGAAGUGUAGAUUGCCACUUCAUUUGAGUGAAGUUGGCGAGAGAUUGGCUUUAGGUCCAGAUGUGCUCCAGGAAGCAAAAAAUAAGGUUCGCAUUGCUCGGGAGCGACUGUUGACAGCCCAGAGUAGGCAAAGGAGUUACGCUGACAGGCGUCGACGAGACUUGGAGUUUCAGAUUGGAGACCAUGUGUUCUUAAAAGUCUCGCCGACCAAAGGAAUUAGAAGAUUUGGAAUCCGGGGUAAGUUGAGACCCCGAUACAUCGGACCGUAUGAGGUUUUGGAGCGUGUGGGCCCAGUAGCGUAUAGACUUGCUCUACCGCCGAACCUAUCGGGUGUACACAACGUUUUCCAUGUAUCGGUCCUUCGGAAGUACAUCAACGAUCCGGCUCACGUGCUGGGCGCUACGCCUAUGGAACUGAGGGAUUAUUUGAGCUUCGAGGAGCAGCCGUUGAGGAUUUUGGCUCGCGAGGUAAAAAGAUUGCUGAACUGUGAGAUCCCCUACGUGAAGGUGCUUUGGAGCAACCACGACGAGCGCGAGGCCACUUGGGAAUUGGAGAGCGCGCUGCGAGAGUGCUAUCCCCAUCUUUUUCAGAUGGAUGCUUGAGGUACUUUGCUUUUGAGUUUCGCGGACGAAACUCCCUUUUUAGAAGGGGUGAAUGUAACACACUGAACCUUUGCAAAUUACGAGGUUCGAGUGGUUGGUUGUGUGCUCAGCAAUUUCAGACUUUCUGGUGGGUCGUUGACAGUGUUCCGACUUAUGGCUCGCAUCCCGAGAAGUGAGGUUUUAAGCCUAGCACAAAAAUCCGAAAAAAUGAAUUUUUGGAUAACUCUCGGAUUGCAUUUUCUGAGGCUGUGUACCGGCACAGGCUGAUGGCUGUAUCGGUACAAGGUUGAUGGUUGUACCGGUACAGCCACCGGGCUUGUACCGGUACAGAGCCGCGGAACCCAUCAGACCCGAGCCUCGAGUUUGUGAUUUUCGUGGGGCUUGUACCGGUACAAGGACUCGUGUACCGGUACAAGGAGGCUGAUUUCGUGCAGUUUGAACUGCAGGGGUGUUUUUGUAUUUGUGGCAUCUCUAUUUAUAUCACCCACGCCCCUAGAGCUCCCCUGAGCUUGGCACCAACAAGGAGAAGAGGUAAGGGAGCCUUCACACCCUCCCUCUCAAUUUCUUUGAUUUUGUUUGGGUUUUUUAUGAGAUUAAACCCCUUUUUUGCUCUUUUUCGGUUAUUGGAGGCAUUUCCACCAUUAGAGCUUGGGUUUGGAGCUUGUUGGAGGAGAGAUUCUUGGACCUUGGGGACUUUGAACCUUGUUGGAAGCUUCUAAGAGGUUGGUAGCUUGUUCUCUCCCUCUAGAUUUUGGUUUUGAUGCCUUAUAGUAAUUGGAACCCUAGAAUAAGGUUUUAGGGUUUAUUUUGGGCAUUUUGAUUUUAGGGCUUUUGGGGCUAAAUUAUUUGGAUUAGAGCACUCCUUUGGGUUGGAUUGGAUGGAUCUUAGCCUUCUUUUGGAGCUUGUGGGAGUUUUUCUCCACCUUAGGUGAGAUUUUAGCCCUUUUACCUUGUUCGUUAAUGUUUGAUCUUAUAGUUGAUCGUAAUGCCCGUGUAUCUUGUCGCUCAAUACUUUUAGGGUAUUUUGAGACUCAGGGACAACUUCGUUCGGCGAAACGAGGCAUUACGCGACGGUUCGGUGGGUUUGACCUAGCCACACAAUGAGAAAAUCUCAUUGUUGAUGAUUUAAGUGUUGUAAAAUGAAAAAGCAUGCAUAUUUUUGUUAUAUGUAUUUGUUGUGAAUUUUAGAAUACUUAAAAUGCCUAUGUUACAUAUAGUGCAAUUUUGGACUCCUAUAUAGUAGAGAGUUGCAUAUGAAGCUUAUGUUUGAUUGUUUAGCAUUCUUAUGUUGGGCUAUGUUCCUUAUAAUGAAAAUGAGCUUGAAUCAUGCAUUUAAACCUAAGUUUAUUUGUGACAUGAAAGAUAACUAAUAUGCCAUAAAGGGGCAUCAAACUCGAAUGUUGUGUGAAUUAGAGAGCUAAUGUCAUCAAGCGGCAUUGAGCUCGGGACAUGGGUGAACCUAGUGGAUAGGGCCAUUGAGGGAUUUGGUGUAUGCUCAACAUUGAAAUGUCGAAGUGUCAUCAAGGGGCACUAGACUUCAUGAACGUUGGAACUUCACUUGUGACUUAGAACUAGAUCUUCGAGAUGCUAGUGACUAUACCAUGUUAGUGACAUGAUGAUUGGAUACUUGAGACGUUGACUACGCUUGCUUGCCAUUUGUACUCAUUCGCACAUGCUUGAGAGGGUCGCUCCCUACAAGCCGGCACUCCGGAGUUAGCCUACGCGACCUAUGUUCGCUCGUGCGGUAUUGAGAAGCCUACGGGGUCGAGUGGGACAGACACAUUCCAAGAGUAGGGAUGUUGGGCUACCACAGGCACUUAGGCGGCACAAGCUGGACUACCUUUGGUAGGUCCUUAAUUGGAAAUGAAAAUCGACACGGUGUUGAGAAUGAAUGAUCACUACUAGAUAGACUUAGUAGUUGGAUUACUUUGACAGGCUCACGACAUAGCUUCGGGACAUUGGGUAUACUUGCUUGUUUUAUUUAUUGCGUUGUAGUAUACUUGGUUGCUUGAUAGAGCUCAUUCCCUAUGUAUUGACAUACUGCAUCGAGAUGCUUACUUGUCGGUUAUGAUUGGAACUUAAUAGUCAUGCUUUGGACAUACUUAUCAUGAUAGAGUAGAUGUUCUAUACUUUGACAUCAUGCUUACUUGAGACAUAGUAGUAUAGCAUUUAAUUUAUGCUUUCUUUCAGCAGUUCUUAUACUCGCUCUUUAUUGCUUAUUAUUAUUGCUCUUUUGACUUACCCUUUUCUUUUGGGGCCUAGUGGUGCAUUGAGCUGAGGUCAGUAAUUGCCCACUGGGAACUAUAAAUUAUAGUUCUCACGCCCUCUGUUUUAUGUUUUCUUUCAGAGCCUUCCAUGCCGGGGGAGACCAGGGAUCGCGGAAAGGGUAUCGCCUCGGGCUAGUGUUCUCCGCCGAGGGAUCGUUUGAUAGGUGGCCCACCUCUCUUUGUUUCUUUUGUGAGAGGUUGAGAGUUGUACCAGUGUACUAGAGACCACCCUUUUGUGUACCUAUUGGGACAGAUAUUGUAUUACCUUAUGGUUUACUUUUACUAUUUUUGUUAUGUUCCUUUACUCUCGUUAUAGAUGAUAGAACUUUACCCGCUCUGAUAUCAUUAGUUGUUCUUUACCCUUUUUGUUCUAUCUCUUGCUUUAUUUCCACUGUUGUUGUAGACGCCUUAUAUGUGUAGACAUAUGGCGGGUCUGGGCACGCUACCGUGAGAGCCUCCGCCGGUCCCGGGGCGUGACAGGAAAAGGUCUCCCAAGCUAUAAACGGGAAAGCUGAUGCCCUAGCUAGAUUGGCUAAAGAGUUAGCUGAUCCCGAUCUUGACGAAGUCCAUGUGACUAUCAAGAAUAGAAAGAUCUUGUCACCUAUGGACUUGAAUCUUGAAGAAGAAUCAAAAAGAAAUUUAGAAAGCGAAUGCGCUAAAAAUUGAUGUGGAAAACGAUUGGAGGGAGCAUUUCCUUAAUUAUUUCAAACACAACGAACUUCCUGAAGAAAAGCCAAAACAAGUUCAGUUGAAGAAGAGGACGAUGCGAUACGCUUUCGUGAAUGAUACCCUCUAUAGGAGGUCUUAUGAUCAGUUAUGGUUGAGAUGCAUAACACAAGAAGAAAUCAAACAAGUUAUGCAUGAAGUUCAUUCGGGUGUAUGCGGUGCCCACCAAUCUGGUCCCAAGAUGCGCCUCAAGAUUAAACACUUGGGCUACUAUUGGCCCACAAUGGUCCAAGAUUGUAUGGAUAUGCUAGGAAAUGCCACCAGUGUCAAGUCCAUAGCGAUUUUAUUCACCAACAUCCAAACCCUUUACACCCGACAAUUGCCUCUUGGCCGUUUGAUAUGUGGGGAACAGACGUCAUAGGACCAAUUAAUCCUCCCUCAUCCCGAGGGCACAAAUUUAUUCUUGCAGCAACAGACUACUUCUCUAGAUGGGCUGAGGCUAUUCCUUUGAGAGAAGUGAAAGCGGAUAAUGUCACAAAAUUUUUUAGAGAAAAUAUUUUGAACUGCUUCGGAGUUCCUCAUCGACUUAUCUCUGACAAUGGCUCAGCCUUCAAAAGUUUUAAGGUCAGCAAAUUCGCCUCCCACCAUAAAAUUGACUGGCGAUACUCGUCAAUCUAUAAUCCAAGAGCUAAUGGUUUGGCUGAAGCUUUCAACAAAACCCUGGUUAAACUUCUGAAGAAAAUUAUUGGUAAAAAUAAGAAGGAAUGGCACGACAAGAUUUCAGAUGCGCUCUAGGCUUACCGAACGACCUUUAAAACUCCUACUCAAGCCACGCCUUAUUCUUUGGUCUUCGGAACGGAAGCUGUCCUUCCUUUAGAAGUAGAGCUACCAUCGCUAAGGAUGGUGGUUCAACACGAAAUGACAGAUGAAGAAAAUAUCUUCUUGAGACUUGAUGAACUGGACUCCCUGGACGAGGUACGGUUGGCUGCGCAACAAAACCUAGAGCUUUAUCAGUCUCAAAUGUCAAGGGCUUACAAUAAACUAGCACGUGUCCGCACUUUUCAGGCAGGAGAUUUGGUACUAGUUCACCGACGAUCUAUAAUUAUAAACAAACGUGCCGGGGGCAAAUUCGAUCCAAAUUGGGAAGGUCCCUAUGUUAUAGAAAAAGCGUAUGAGGGAGGAGCCUACCAAUUAAUCGACGCAAAAGGAGAAAGACUGAUGCCACCGAUCAACGGACGAUUUUUAAAGAAAUACUAUCCGUAAAAAAAAAAAAAUAAAAAAAAAAAAUAAAUAAAUAAAUAAAUCCGGCUGUGAAUAAAUUUCACGGGCAAAAAUGGAAUCCCUACUGUGAGAAAACCUGCACUUGGCUCACAGGCAAAAGUUAGGGGAAAGGUUUCUAGCGAAAACUCUCACGGGAGCUAGUUUCCAAUAAACCUAAAAUCCACACAUUUUCCCGCCGACGAUAGAAUGCUAACUCACCCUUUGGGGUUGGUUAUGCGCAGCAAUCUCGAUAUACUGAGUUGCUUCCGGAGGCCAAAUAAACUCAACAAUAUUCUUUGUUUCCCCUACCGAUGAUGGAAUGUAGACUCACCCUUUGGAGUCGGUCAUGUGUAGCAAUCUCGAUGUACCAAGUUGCUUCCGGAGGCCAAACAAAUCCAAGAAAAUUCAUUUUUCCUUUUUAGCUGACGAUGGAACGCUAACUCAUCCCUUCGGGGUCGACUAUGCGCAGCAAUCUCAAUGUACAGAAUUGCUUCUGGAGGUCAAACAAACUCAACAAAAUUCUUUACUUUUUGCGCCAGUAAAAAAAUAUACUGAUUCAGCAUGCGAAGUUCAAUGUGCAAACAGAUAUCGACAAACUGACUUUCUUCCACACAAAAAAAAAGGGAAGAGAGAACAUAAAAAGAGUUUUCACCUUUUUCUGCUCACAAAAAACACUCACAGCAAAAGGUGGGGGGCACUUUGUUUGAGAUAAAAAAAAAAAAAAGUUCAAAAUUCAAAUUGAAAAUAUAGAAGGAGAGAUUUAAAGGAAAAAAAAAAGGAGGAAAGUAUUCAAAAAUAAAACAAAAGAGAUAUAAUUAGUUGAUUGAGGUUUGUUUCCUCAAUAAAUUAAUUUUUUAAAUUAUUUCCAAAUGGGAAUCAUCUUUGAAUCCUAUAUAAAAAAAGAAAGAAAGAAAGAAAGAAAAAAGCAAAAAAAAAAAAAGAAAGGAAGAAGAAGAAGAAAAAAAGGGUGAGAAAAAAAAAAAAGAGUUUUUAUACUCUCCUCUCUCUCUCUCCUCUCUCACUCUCUCUCUCUCGGCUGGAAGUGGGGGUGCCAUGUGCACCCCUCCUCUUCCGUACACAGCAACAAAAAAAAAAAAGAGAAAAAAAAAGGACUCUGGCUCUUGAAUUCGGCUACGACUUCGACAACGACAAUCACAACGACUUCUAUAACAAUAGGAGAUAUGCAUGCAUACGCAUAGCGUAAGUGCGUUUUUUUGUCAAUUUGAUCAACCCGACCAUCUUCGUGAUAGGUUUCAAAUCGAUCAAAUUUGACAUUAAAUCGUCGCUUCCGUCGCGCAUAUGCAUCGCUAAUCUCUAAACCGUGCGUUUUUUGUUGUCAAUUUGAUCAACCCGACCAUCUUCGUGAUAGGUUUCGAACCGAUCAAAUUUGACAUUAAAUUGUCGCUUCCGUCGUACGCAUCGCUAAUCUCUAAACCGUGCGGCCAUCUACGUGAUAGGCUCGACAUGGUCAAAAUGAUUGAUCGAACUGGAUAUUUUACUAUGUAAACCGUGCGGCCAUCUUCGCGAUAGGCUCGACAUGGUCAAAAUGGGUGAUCGAGCUCCGUUUAUUUCGAUACGUAAACCGUGCGGCCAUCUUCGCGAUAGGUUCGACAUGGUCAAAAGAAUUAAUCGAGCGGCCAUCUUCGUGAUAGGCUUGACACGAUUAAACUCUGCGUACUUGAACAAAAUGCGACAAAAAAAUAUAACAAUAAGAAUGAUAAUAAAAAAUGGACGGGUUUUGUUUUAAUUCAUCAUCUUCGUUCGAUUCGAUCGUAUUGCUCGACGUGAUAAAUUUCGUAUUAAAAACAAUGAGAUACGAAAUUUCAUAUAUUUGGACAAAUAAAAAAAAAAAAACAAAAAAAGAAGAAAAAGGAAAAAGAGUUGGACUUCUCUCUAUCUGGCAGUCAACACAAAAGAAAAAAAAAGAAGAAAGAAAGAAUACAAAAGAAAAGAAAAGAAAGAAAAGAAAGAAAAAAAAAAGAGGAGUUGUUGGGUACUACUCCUUUCUCUCCCUCAGUUUUUUGUACGCACACAAAGAAAGAGAGAAAGAGAGAGAGAGAGUUGGGUUUUCCCUCUCUCUCUCACACAGUCAGCAAAAAAAAAAGGAAAAAAAGAAAGAAAAUAAGAAAAAAAGAAAAGAAAAAAAAAAGGAGUUGGGUUUCCUUUCUCUCACAAUCAGCAAAAAAAAAAAAGAAAAGGGAGAGGUACCCCCUCUCUCUCUCUGUCUCAAUUUCGUACACACACAGACAAAGAGAGUGGGAGUUGGAUCUCUCUCUCUUUCUCUGACAGUCAACACAAAAAAAGAGAAAGAAAAGAAAAGAAAAGAAAAGAAAAGAACAAAUACAAAAAAAAAUAUUCCAUCUCUCCCAGUGGAAAGAAAAAAAAAAAAAAAAAAGGGAGAGAAAUUGGAUUUGAGUUAUUUAAUGGUUCAAUCCAUCAUGGGCCCAAUAAAUAAACUUUAUAAGCAGUAAAAAAAAAAAAGAGGCACCAAGCCCACUUGCAAAUUCGGGUUCACAACCUGUAGAGCCCGAAAUCCAGCCCAUAUGCAGAUUUGGAUUCAAAAUCAAUAAAAAAACCCACCCCACAUACAGAUUCAAGCCCAGAAUAUUAAAGCCCGAAACCCGUCUCAGCCCACAUGCAGAGUCGGCCCCAGAACAUAUAAAAUCCAAGAUCUAUCUCAGUCCACCUGUAGAUUUGGGUCCAAGGCCCAAAACAUAUAAAGUCGAAAACUAAUCCAAGUCCACAUGCAGAUUCGGGUCCCAGGCCCAAAACAUGUAAAGCCCGAAACCAAUCUCAACCCACAUGCAGAUUUAGAUCCAAAACCAAUAAAAAUCCAUAUGAAUAAAUUUCUCAACCCAAAAAUCCAAAGCCUACAAACAAAAUCCCAAAAUCCAAAAUCCACAAAGAUCCAAAACCCAAAAUCCACAAACAAAAUCCCAAAAACCCAAAGUCCACAAAUAAAGAUACAAAACCCAAAGUCCACAAACAAAGAUCCAAAACCCAAAGUUCACAAAUAAAGAUCCAAAAAACCCAAAGUCCACAAAUAAGAUCCAAAACCCAAAACCCAAAGAUCCAAGAUCCAAAGUCCAUAAAUAAAACCCAACCAAAUCUACCAAACCUAUGUCAUCCAAAUACCUCCAACCCAAACCGAAUUAAUGGGCUUUCCAAAUGGGCCCUUUAUUAUGAAUUAAUUCUAUGAAUUAAUUUUCUGGGCUUUCCAAAGGCCCCCUACCAUGAAUUAAUUCGACAAAUUAAUUUCAUGGGUUUGCCAAAUAGGUCCUUUAUCAUGGAUUAAUUCUAUGAAUUAAUUUCAUGGGCCCUUCUUGUCAUAGAUUAAUUUCAUGAAUUAUUGGGCCCUCCAAAUGGCCCCUUAUCAGAAAUUAAUUCAAUGGGCUCUCCAAAUGGCCCUUAUCAUGAAUUAAUUUCAUCAAUUAAUUCAAAGGACUUUACAGACGGGCUCCUAGCAUGAAUUAAUUUCAUGAAUCAGUUUCAUGAACAUCUCGAUUUCAAACGACCGAAACGUUGCUAAACUAAACCUAAAUUCAAACGACCGAAACAUCGUUAAACUAAACCCAAAUUCAAACGACCGAAACGUCGUUAAACUAAACCCAACGACCGAAACGUCGUUAAACUAAACCCAAAUCUAAACGACCAAAAAGUCACUAAACUAAACCCAAAUUCAAACGACCGAAACGUCGUUAAACUAAACCCAAAUUCUAACGACCGAAAUGUUGUUAAACUAAACCCAAAUUCAAAUGACUGAAACGUCGUUAAACUAAACCCAAUGACCGAAACGUCGUUAAACUAAACCCAAAUCUAAACGACCGAAACGUCGCUAAACUAAACCCGAAUUCAAACGACCGAAACGUCGCUAAACUAAACCCGAAUUCAAACAACCGAAACGUCGCUAAACUAAACCCGAAUUCAAACGACUGAAACGUCGCUAAACUAAACCCGAAUUCAAACGACCGAAACGUCGUUAAACUAAACCCAAAUUCAAACGACCGAAACGCCAUUAAACUAAACCCAAAUUCAAACGACCGAAAAGUCGUUAAACUAAACCCAAAAUUUCAAUUGACCACCAAGUCGCUAAAUUGAGUAUAUAAUCUUAUAAAAUUUAUGUACAGUGGGGGUAUGUCCCUGCUUAAGCCAUGUAUACGGCAAAUCAUUUUAAUAAAAUUUUAUUUGCCUG
rnacentral:lncRNA from 1 species